rnacentral:misc_RNA from 1 species
GAAAUGCGAUACUUGGUGUGAAUUGCAGAAUCCCGUGAACCAUCGAAUCUUUGAACGCACAUUGCGCCCCCUGGUAUUCCGGGGGGCAUGCCUGUUCGAGCGUCAUUUCACCACUCAAGCCUCGCUUGGUAUUGGGCGCCGCGAGUCCCUCGCGCGCCUCAAAGUCUCCGGCCGGGUGGCCCGUCUCCCAGCGUUGUGGCAACUAUUUCGCAGUGGAGUUCGAGUCGUCGUGGCCGUUAAAUCUUUCAAAGGUUGACCUCGGAUCAGGUAGGGAUACCCGCUGAACUUAA